UACGAAGGGGGCUAGCGUUGUUCGGAUUUACUGGGCGUAAAGCGCACGUAGGCGGUUUGUUAAGUCAGGGGUGAAAUCCCAGAGCUCAACUCUGGAACUGCCUUUGAUACUGGAGAGCUUGAGUCCGGGAGAGGUGAGUGGAACUCCGAGUGUAGAGGUGAAAUUCGUAGAUAUUCGCAAGAACACCAGUGGCGAAGGCGGCUCACUGGCCCGGUACUGACGCUGAGGUGCGAAAGCGUGGGGAGCAAACAGG
rnacentral:rRNA from 1 species